UACGGAGGAUCCGAGCGUUAUCCGGAUUUAUUGGGUUUAAAGGGUGCGUAGGUGGCCUGUUAAGUCAGGGGUGAAAGACGGUAGCUCAACUAUCGCAGUGCCCUUGAUACUGAUGGGCUUGAAUGAACUAGAGGUAGGCGGAAUGUGACAAGUAGCGGUGAAAUGCAUAGAUAUGUCACAGAACACCAAUUGCGAAGGCAGCUUACUAUGGUUUUAUUUGACACUGAGGCACGAAAGCGUGGGGGAUCAAAACAGG
rnacentral:rRNA from 1 species